rnacentral:lncRNA from 1 species
CAACAUUUUUAUUUUCUUUGAAAAUAGGUCAGUUUGGCUCAUCAGUGGCCUCCUACUUCCUUUUCUUGAGAUGGAUGUACGGAGUAAAUAUGGUUCUUUUUAUCCUGACAUUCAGCCUGAUCAUGUUGCCAGAGUACCUCUGGGGUUUGCCAUAUGGAAGUUUACCUAGGAAAACAGUCCCAAGAGCUGAAGAGGCAUCUGCAGCCAACUUUGGUGUGUUGUACGACUUCAAUGGUUUGGCACAAUAUUCCGUCCUCUUUUAUGGCUAUUACGACAAUAAACGAACGAUUGGAUGGAUGAAUUUCAGGUUGCCGCUCUCCUAUUUUCUGGUGGGGAUUAUGUGCAUCGGAUACAGCUUUCUGGUUGUCCUCAGGGCGUAAGUUGCAUUUGUCAUUGAAUAAUGAUUUC